CAGCCGCCGCGGGAAUACGUAGGUCCCGAGCGUUGUCCGGAUUUAUUGGGCGUAAAGCGAGCGCAGGCGGUUAGAUAAGUCUGAAGUUAAAGGCUGUGGCUUAACAAUAGUACGCUUUGGAAACUGUUUAACUUGAGUGCAAGAGGGGAGAGUGGAAUUCCAUGUGUAGCGGUGAAAUGCGUAGAUAUAUGGAGGAACACCGGUGGCGACAGCGGCUCUCUGGCUUGUAACUGACGCUGAGGCUCGAAAGCGUGGGGAGCAAACAGGAUUAGAUACCCGAGUAGUCCCUGUCUCUUAUACA
rnacentral:rRNA from 1 species